rnacentral:rRNA from 1 species
GCGCUGCACUGACGCAGCAAGCGAGUAUAUUAAUUUGUCCUUGGCCGAGAGGUCUGGGUAAACUUGUGAAACUCCGUCGUGCUGGGGAUAGAGCAUUGUAAUUGUUGCUCUUGAACGAGGAAUUCCUAGUAAGCGCAAGUCAUCAGCUUGCGUUGAUUACGUCCC